UUCUGAUUUAAGUUUAAAUAGAUCUUGUUUCCUAAGGAUUAAGAAUGUUAUUCCUUCUUCAUUUUUUUCAAUAGAGAUACUCAUCGCACAAACUCACAAGUUCUUAACUCUUGAUGACUUCUUUUUAUAACACAAUUUCUCUCGAUCUCGAAAUCUACCUGGACAAUUUUGCUUUCUGGCUAUUAACUAAUUCAUUAUUUCUAGGGUGGCCUAGCGCUGCUGGAAAGCGUGGAUUCGAUUAUGAGUGGAUUAACGAUGCCACUGAUGUUUAUUCGAGUUAGUUGCAAUGCUUUAUGUGUAUCAGAGCCAUGAUUUUAUUUUGGAAUAUUGUCACUGAAGAGAACGUGUGUUCCAACAGAAUCGAUGCCCAAUGACAAAUUAUACCGUUAAUUACGUUUGUCAGUUCAAAAACAACGCGGCAUUGUUAAUAUUGCAAACGCCAUUCGACAUGUCCAUCCCUCACAUUGGGACCGCGUGUUUGGAAAGUAAAAUGCCACCACAUGGGACUGAGUGCUACAGCAAGGGGUGGUGCCAAAAGAACUUUAAUAAGGACGAGUAUGCUGUCAUGUUGAAAAAAAUAUCUAUCACUAUUGGACAAGUCUGUAUGUGAAAGGGCCUUCCGACCUAUUGUAGGAUCUGCCUAUAAUAUGGACGACCCCCUGACGUGCGCAGGAGGAGUUAUCGGUUUAAGUAAUUGUAAGGAAGAUGGUGGCUCACCCCUCAUAUGUCCUAUACCCUCGUCUGAAGGCACUCGCUUCGCUGUGGUGGGAUUGGUCGUUCUGGGAUACAGAUGUGGUGGUAUGGUAUUCCAGUCGCCUUCACGAAUGUACCACAGGUGUACAACUGGGUCGACGCUAUUAUGAAGACCUACAAUUACGAUACCACCUCGUUCGAAUACUAAACUAAAAUAUAUCUUUACUAAAUUAACGACUCGACAUUCGAGGUUGGAUGAGAAUGUUGCAGAUACCAUGGACAGCAAAAUUAAUAAAUCCAUUUUCAACCAACUCUAAAUCACCACUAGACUGUCAACUAUCAUUUACAAAUGCUUAGGCCAAAUUGCCAGGAGAAAACGGAAUAAUCUCGAACUGUUAAUGGUAGGGAGGGGUGAUGGCAGAAGUCGGGGUCUCACCUAAUUAGGACAAUUAUGAUGCCCUUAUGCCAGAGCUGAGGAUGGAGUUGUGUGGAGGCAGUCGAGGUACGAGAUAAGGGCUUUUCGCGCACGUCUUUAAUAAUUAAGAUUCCAAUUAUAAAAUUACAAUAACUCGUACAAAACACGAAUUAAUCCUUUAAUAACGUGGAAUUAAUAUGAUUCUAUGAAUAUAUAAAAUAUUUAUAGCCGACUCAGUUGACAUUGUUCUGUUAUAUGUUAGGGUUAUGUUUUAAAAAAAAAGAUAAGAUUCUUGUAGACAGUUUUAAAAACAUCAAACUUGU